rnacentral:rRNA from 1 species
CGAACGGGUGAGUAACGCGUGAGGAACCUGCCUCAAAGAGGGGACGAACAGUUGGAAACGACUGCUAAUACCGCAUAAGCCCACGGCUCGGCAUCGAGCAGAGGGAAAGGAGCAAUCCGCUUUGAGAUGGCCUCGCGUCCGAUUAGCUAGUUGGUGAGGUAACGGCCCACCAAGGCGACGAUCGGUAGCCGGACUGGGAGGUUGAACGGCCACAUUGGGACUGAGACACGGCCCAG